rnacentral:sRNA from 1 species
AAUGAAGCUGUCAAGGAAGAGGGGAGAAGAAGGUUGGACUCUUGUGUGCUUAUGACUAGCUGAAGAAAACUGAGAUGUUUCGGAAAAUACUGCAACUGGAGAGUGAUUAAGUCAAGAUUAUGAAUAUCAAAGUCAAAGACAUGUUGAAGAUUCAAAAUUGAGAGGUUUGAAGUCUUGAUUUUUCCGCUGCAAAUUACAAGGUACUUGUGAUAUUCAUGUCUGAUGUUUUUAAGGAAGUGUCUCUAUGAGCAUAAGAAACUUAGCAUGUUGUGAUCAAUCUGAGGUAACAUUCCAGAGUGGUGUAACUCCGGUUCAGUUCUGUAAGGUUAGCUGAAGUGACAUCUGCAAGGAGAUGUUGGUCGGGAUCAAUCUGAGGUAAAAAUAUUCAAAGUUGAGUAACUCCGGUUAAGUAUUAGCCCAGGAAGCUGAAGUGUCUUAUGCUACGUAAAGGCUGUGUCAAGAUGUUGUUGUGGCUAAAGGAUGGUUCACACAAAAGUAGAAGAUUAAUAGAAGGAAGUGGCACUUGAAGCUGUUUUUAGAACUUGUGUGAUUGGGAGUGACUGCAUGAUGAAACAUGACAUUGGAAGUGACUUAAGAUUUCUAAACGAAUUCAUUGGUAGACAGUCCUGUACGCGCAACUGCUGAG